AGUAACACGUGGAUAACCUACCUAUAAGACUGGGAUAACUUCGGGAAACCGGAGCUAAUACCGGAUAAUAUUUUGAACCGCAUGUUCAAAAGUGAAAGACGGUCUUGCUGUCACUUAUAGAUGGAUCCGCGCUGCAUUAGCUAGUUGGUAAGGUAACGGCUUACCAAGGCAACGAUGCAUAGCCGACCUGAGAGGGUGAUCGGCCACACUGGAACUGAGACACGGUCCAG
rnacentral:rRNA from 1 species